CCUACGGGUGGCAGCAGUAGGGAAUUUUCGGCAAUGGGGGGAACCCUGACCGAGCAACGCCGCGUGAACGAAGAAGUUAUUCGUAAUGUAAAGUUCUUUUAACAGGGAAGAAAGAGAAAUUUGACGGUCCCUGAAGAAUAAGCUCCGGCUAACUACGUGCCAGCAGCCGCGGUAAUACGUAGGGAGCGAGCGUUAUCCGGAUUUAUUGGGUUUAAAGGGUGCGUAGGCGGGCUUUUAAGUCAGCGGUAAAAAUUCGGGGCUCAACCCCGUCCGGUCGUUGAAACUGGGGGCCUUGAGUGGGCGAGAAGAAGGCGGAAUUCGUGGUGUAGCGGUGAAAUGCUUAGAUAUCACGAAGAACUCCGAUUGCGAAGGCAGCUUACUAAACUGCCACUGACAUUGAUGCUCGAAAGUGUGGGUAUCAAACAGGAUUAGAUACCCGUGUAGUC
rnacentral:rRNA from 1 species